UGAGUUUGUGCUCUUCGAUGAGAGAUGCAGUAUCACCCUGAGGAAUUUUAAUGGGGGGGCGACGGGCUUCUCUAGGUGGGUCUGGGAUCCACUUCCCUUUGUCUUUUCUUGAGCUUCGAUAUGCCAUUCUAUAACACAACAGUAUUCAACUGUAAAGGUAGAAACUUUUCCACAACUGCAGUGAGACGCAGUAACUUCCGAAACUACCGCUUGAGUAGGACCUUAGUGACAAGGUAUGUUGUUGACUGUACUAGACAGUAAAACGAGGGCCAGCUGGAGUUAAACCAAAUCUUCUUGCUGACCAUCCGUGAGUGAGCAGUAAAUUUGAUUUUUCACUAACAUCAUCUUCCCAACCAGAUCUGUAAUAAAUGCUUCACAAGACGACAUAAUACUCUGGGGGAAAGGGUGGUGCUCCAGGGGAAUCAGAUCCGUCGCAGAUCUACGAUAUCAGAAAGUAGAUGCGGUGGUUCAUGGUUGAGAUGCGGCUGAGCGGGGAGGUUGAUACGGUGGUGAAAGGUGUUUGACAAAAGGUAGCGAAACCCUUGGUAACUGUGCCUGGGAGAAUAUUUUAAUCUCUCUGUUUAGCUUGACUUGUGUCUGUGGGGUUUAUUUCCAAUGAAUCUGUUUUAGAUUCAGUUUUUGUUUGAAGAUUCUUCAUAGCCUUAGACAUUAGUCAUUUUCUGCCUAAAGACUUUUUAAGCCGAUAGUAGUUUUUGUAAAGUCAUAGCCUUUGUCUAAAACGUUUUUUUAGCAAAGCCGUUGAUCUUUUCUAAGCCGUAGGUACUAAUGUAUAAUUGAACACUUUUGCAACCAACCUUUGUUUAAAGACUGUUUUGAAAGCCGUGGC
rnacentral:lncRNA from 1 species